GUCGUUGCCCCUCCAAAACCUUUUUAAGGCGAUGGAUGGGUGGAAGAUGGCUCUCCCGUGUGCUUUGUCACGUGGUUGGCCCAAAUAAAAAGUCCUCGGCGUCCAACGCCGCGACAAUCGGUGGUUGUCAAACCUCGGUGCCUUGUCGCGCGCGCAGGUCGUUUGUUGGGUUUCCUUGCAUGUGUGCGUCGUUCACUCGGCGCUUUCA
rnacentral:misc_RNA from 1 species